rnacentral:rRNA from 1 species
GACGAACGCUGGCGGCGUGCUUAACACAUGCAAGUCGAACGGAAAGGCCCUGCUUUUGUGGGGUGCUCGAGUGGCGAACGGGUGAGUAACACGUGAGUAACCUGCCCUUGACUUUGGGAUAACUUCAGGAAACUGGGGCUAAUACCGGAUAGGAGCUCCUGCUGCAUGGUGGGGGUUGGAAAGUUUCGGCGGUUGGGGAUGGACUGGCGGCGUAUCAGCUUGUUGGUGGGGUGGUGGCUUACCAAGGCUUGGACGGGUGGACGGGCUGGGCGGGGGACCGGCCACAUUGGGCCGGGACUGCGGCCCGGCCCACACCGGGACGGAAGGGUGGGGGAUAUUACCUAACGGGAGGGGGCCUGAUGCAGCACCGCCGCGUGGGGGAUGACGGCCUUCGGGUUGUAAACCGAUUUCGCCUGUGACGAAGCGUGAGUGACGGUAAUGGGUAAAGAAGCACCGGCUAACUACGUG